AACCCUUGUUAAUUGGUGUCACAAUCUAGUAACUGCCAUCUCCCAAGCUCACUUGGCCAGAGAUGGUCAACAGCAAACAUGCUGAGCUGCUUCUCCACUUUGAGAGGCCACCGCCUCAGCACUCCAGGUAGAGAAAGUAUCUGAAAGAUUAAAAAGAUGGCUGACUCCAUCCAGAUGCUGCAGGCCAUGCUUCAGCAGCCACACAACUGUCACAGACACCCCAGGGACGGUCUCCCCAGAAGUGACUACCAGUGACCUACCAAAAUCAAGGGGCUUUGCUGAUAUUCAGGAGCAUCCAUUCUUUCAAACUGCGGACUGGGACAUGAUGGAGCAAAAGCAGGUGGUGCCUCCAUACCAAAUAUCUCUGAGUGAUUUGGUUUGGACAACUUUGAUCCUGAAUUUACUAAUGAACCUUUCCAGCUCACCCCAGAUGAUAAUGAUGUCAUGAGGGAGCUUGAUGGAUAUGAAUUUGCAGGUUUUGAGUAUAUCAGUCAUCUUACGAUGUAUAAAGAAGGGGUCUGAUCCCCAUUUUUCAACUAUGCAUUUUCCUUAUGUUGCCAUUUAAUGCUUGGAAAAACUUGUUACCAGCCUGGAUAGAUUUAACCAUUUCAGAGAUGCCUGGAAGCUAAUUUUAAUUUAUUGUUUUGAAGCUAUAUUUAGAUGUAAUAUUUGAUUCUUAUAGUCUAUAGUAGAGAAUAUGGAAUUUUUUGUUCAUAGAUUAGAUUUUUAUGAGCUGAUUUAAAUAACAAUGAACCAGUCACUUGUUAACCACACUUGUAUAUACAUUCCAUUUGUUGAGUGGGAC
rnacentral:lncRNA from 1 species